AAUAAGCGUAACCAUAAGUUUCCGUGUAUAACUUUGAUUGUCCGUCUUGUUUGAAAUUCUUUUAUGAUUAGUAUUUUUAUUGAUAUUAGAUUAUAAAAUAUGAAUAAUACUUUAUGCGUGACUUAUGUUUUUUUUAGUUUUUUCAAAAAAAAAUUCAAAUAAGACGGAUGAAUAAAGUUGGGCACGGAAACUCAUGGCUGCGUUUAUU
rfam:Oryza glumipatula chromosome 10, whole genome shotgun sequence.